rnacentral:rRNA from 1 species
AACUAACAAGGAUUCCCCUAGUAACUGCGAGUGAACCGGGAAAAGCUCAAAUUUUGAAUCUGGCGGUCUUUAUGGCCGUCCGAGUUGUAAUCUAGAGAAGCGUCUUCCGCGCUGGACCGUGUAYAAGUUUCCUGGAAUGGAACGUCGUAGAGGGUGAGAAUCCCGUCUUUGACACGGACUGCCAGGGCUAUGUGAUGCGCUCUCGACGAGUCGAGUUGUUUGGGAAUGCAGCUCAAAUAGGGUGGUAAAUUCCAUCUAAAGCUAAAUAUAGGCGAGAGACCGAUAGCGAACAAGUACCGUGAGGGAAAGAUGAAAAGAACUUUGGAAAGAGAGUUAAACAGUACGUGAAAUUGCUGAAAGGGAAACGCUUGAUGUCAGUCGCGUUCGUCGGGGAUCAGCCUUGCUCUUUUGCUCGGUGUACUUCCUGGCGAACGGGUCAGCAUCAGUUUUGUUCGUCGGAAAAUGGCUCGAGAAAUGUGGCACUCUUCGGGGUGUGUUAUAGACUCGGGUCGAAUACGACGUUCGGGACUGAGGAACUCAGCGCGACCUUCGGGUUCGGGGCUUAGGCCCACGUUAACGUGCUUAGGAUGCUGGCAUAAUGGCCUUAAGCGACCCGUCUUGAAACACGGACCAAGGAGUCUAACUCGCAUGCGAGUGUUUGGGCGAUUAAAACCCGAGCGCGUAAUGAAAGUGAAAGUCGAGACCCCUGUCGUGGGGGGCAUCGACGCCCGGACCAGAGCUUCUGCGACGGAUCUGCGGUAGAGCAUGCGUGUUGGGACCCGAAAGAUGGUGAACUAUGCCUGAAUAGGGUGAAGCCAGAGGAAACUCUGGUGGAGGCUCGUAGCGAUUCUGA